AGUGAACGCUGGCGGUAGGCCUAACACAUGCAAGUCGAACGGCAGCACAGUAAGAGCUUGCUCUUACGGGUGGCGAGUGGCGGACGGGUGAGGAAUACAUCGGAAUCUACUUUUUCGUGGGGGAUAACGUAGGGAAACUUACGCUAAUACCGCAUACGACCUACGGGUGAAAGCAGGGGAUCUUCGGACCUUGCGCGGUUGAAUGAGCCGAUGUCGGAUUAGCUAGUUGGCGGGGUAAAGGCCCACCAAGGCGACGAUCCGUAGCUGGUCUGAGAGGAUGAUCAGCCAACAUUGAACUGAGACACGGUCCAGACUCCUACGGGAGGCAGCAGUGGGGAAUAUUGGACAAUGGGCGCAAGCCUGAUCCAGCCAUACCGCGUGGGUGAAGAAGGCCUUCGGGUUGUAAAGCCCUUUUGUUGGGAAAGAAAAGCAGCAGGUUAAUACCCCGCUGUUCUGACGGUACCCAAAGAAUAAGCACCGGCUAACUUCGU
rnacentral:rRNA from 1 species